rnacentral:rRNA from 1 species
GACGAACGCUGGCGGCGUGCUUAACACAUGCAAGUCGAACGGUGAAGCGCCUUCCUUUUUGGUGGGUGUGGAUGAGUGGCGAACGGGUGAGUAACACGUGAGUAACCUGCCCCCUUCUUCUGGAUAACCGCAUGAAAGUGUGGCUAAUACGGGAUAUUCUGGGUCUGUCGCAUGAUGGGUCUGGGAAAGAUAUUGUUUCGGUGGGGGAUGGGCUCGCGGCCUAUCAGCUUGUUGGUGGGGUGAUGGCCUACCAAGGCGGUGACGGGUAGCCGGCCUGAGAGGGUGGACGGUCACACUGGGACUGAGACACGGCCCAGACUCCUACGGGAGGCAGCAGUGGGGAAUAUGGCACAAUGGGCGAAAGCCUGAUGCAGCGACGCCGCGUGAGGGAUGGAGGCCUGCGGGUUGUGAACCUCUUUCGCCAGUGAAGCAGGCCUGCCUCGUUUGUGGGUGGGUUGACGGUAGCUGGAUAAGAAGCGCCGGCUAACUACGUG